UACAGAGGGUGCAAACGUUGCUCGAAAUUACUAGGGCGUAAAGCGCGUGUAGGCUGCUCUGAUAGUCGGGUGUGAAAUCCCGGGGCUCAACCCCGGAAGUGCACUCGAUACUGCAGAGCUUGAGUAUUGAAGAGGAAAGCGGAACUCCAGGUGUAGAGGUGAAAUUCGUAGAUAUCUGGAAGAACACCAGUGGCGAAGGCGGCUUUCUGGGCAAAUACUGACGCUGAGACGCGAAAGCGUGAGGAGCAAACAGG
rnacentral:rRNA from 1 species